rnacentral:rRNA from 1 species
UACGUAGGGUGCGAGCGUUGUCCGGAAUUAUUGGGCGUAAAGAGCUCGUAGGCGGUGUGUCACGUCGGCCGUGAAAACCUGCAGCUUAACUGUGGGCGUGCGGUCGAUACGGGCAUCACUGGAGUUCGGCAGGGGAGACUGGAAUUCCUGGUGUAGCGGUGAAAUGCGCAGAUAUCAGGAGGAACACCGGCGGCGAAGGCGGGUCUCUGGGCCGAUACUGACGCUGAGGAGCGAAAGCCAGGGGAGCAAACGGG